rnacentral:rRNA from 1 species
UACGAAGGGGGCUAGCGUUGCUCGGAAUUACUGGGCGUAAAGGGAGCGUAGGCGGAUAUUUAAGUCGGGGGUGAAAGCCCAGGGCUCAACCCUGGAAUUGCCUUCGAUACUGGAUAUCUAGAGUAUGGGAGAGGUGUGUGGAACUCCGAGUGUAGAGGUGAAAUUCGUAGAUAUUGGGAAGAACACCGAUGGCGAAGGCAGCCAUCUGGACCGACACUGACGCUGAGGCGCGAAAGCGUGGGGAGCAAACAGG